rnacentral:sRNA from 1 species
AGUUGCAACCGGUUUCUGAAGUAAUGUGCAAGACUCCUUACAUCAGCUUCUCUGAGUCUUGUGAUUCAGACUUGCCUCCCUCUCUCCCUUUCUCCCCUCUCCCCGUCCCACCCUUAGGCUCUGGGAGAAGGGAGACUGGGGAGGUCAGGGGCCUCUCAGAGGGGCCUCACCUGUUAACCCAGCCCCCCAUUUCAGGUCUGAAGGGGCGUCUCGAUUACCUGAGCUCUCUGAAGGUGAAGGGCCUUGUGCUGGGCCCAAUUCACAAGAACCAGAAGGAUGAUGUCGCUCAGACCGACUUGCUGCAGAUCGACCCCAAUUUUGGCUCCAAGGAAGAUUUUGACAGUCUCUUGCAAUCGGCUAAAAAAAAGAAUGGAGUCUCACUCUGUCACCCAGGCUGUAGUGCAGUGGAAUGAUCUCAGCUUACUGCAGCCUCCUCCCCCGGGGGUUAAAGCGAUUCUCGUGCCUCAGCCUCCUGAGUAGCUGGCAUCCGUGUCAUUCUGGACCUUACUCCCAACUACCGGGGUGAGAACUCGUGGUUCUCCACUCAGGUUGACACUGUGGCCACCAAGGUGAAGGCCUCAGGAA